UCCAGACUCCUACGGGAGGCAGCAGUGGGGGAUAUUGCACAAUGGGGGGAACCCUGAUGCAGCGACGCCGCGUGGGUGAAGAAGUAUUUCGGUAUGUAAAGCCCUAUCGGCAGGGAAGAAAUUGGACGGUACCUGACUAAGAAGCCCCGGCUAACUACGUGCCAACAGCCGCGGUAAUACGUAGGGGGCAAGCGUUAUCCGGAUUCACUGGGUGUAAAGGGAGCGUAGACGGCCAUGCAAGCCUGGAGUGAAAGCCCGGGGCCCAACCCCGGGACUGCUCUGGGAACUGUGCGGCUGGAGUGCGGGAGGGGCAGGCGGAAUUCCUGGUGUAGCGGUGAAAUGCGUAGAUAUCAGGAGGAACACCGGCGGCGAAGGCGACUUUCUGGACUGUACCUGACGCUGAGGCGCGAAAGCGUGGGUAGCGAACGGGAUUAGAUACCCUAGUA
rnacentral:rRNA from 1 species